ACGAACGCUGGCGGCGUGCUUAACACAUGCAAGUCGAACGGAAAGGCCCUGCUUUUGUGGGGUGCUCGAGUGGCGAACGGGGGAGUAACACGUGAGUAACCUGCCCUUGACUUUGGGAUAACUUCAGGAAACUGGGGCUAAUACCGGAUAGGAGCUCCUGCUGCAUGGUGGGGGUUGGAAAGUUUCGGCGGUUGGGGAUGGACUUGCGGCUUAUCAGCUUGUUGGUGGGGUAGUGGCUUACCAAGGCUUUGACGGGUAGCCGGCCUGAGAGGGUGACCGGCCACAUUGGGACUGAGAUACGGCCCAGACUCCUACGGGAGGCAGCAGUGGGGAAUAUUGCACAAUGGGCGGAAGCCUGAUGCAGCAACGCCGCGUGCGGGAUGACGGCCUUCGGGUUGUAACCCGCUUUCGCCUGUGACGAAGCGUGAGUGACGGUAAUGGGUAAAGAAGCACCGGCUAACUACGUG
rnacentral:rRNA from 1 species